CGUUUCCGGUGUGGCCGCUACGAAGAGCCGCAGCCUUUGCAGCUUCGGCGAGGAGGGCGUGAGGCGUGUGCGCCUCCGCGGCGUCUCCACGGAACGAGCGGGGCGCGCCCUCCUCCCCGGUGGGCGGAAGGGGGUCACCUGCCGGGGGUUCAACAUGGGAGCCAUAAAUACCGUAGAAUUUCUGAAAUGGAAGAGACAUUUUCUCACUAACGAGGAAGCCCCCUUGGCGCCCGCCCUGAGCGCUAGCAGGCAACCGAGGCAGCGUUCUUCCGGAUGUGCCAAGCGCCUCCCGCCCGCUCCUCCAGCUCGGCCCCUUCCCCUGCAGCAGACCACACGGCUCAAGACGACGAUGUGACAGAGAGAAAACAAGCCCCUCUCUUGUCUGCGACCCGCGAGGCGACCGCGGCGAGCGGGCAACCGGCUCCCCAUUCCGAUUAGGCAAUUAGCUGAUUGCUGCCGGCCCGCAGCCCGGGCGAGCGGUGCGCGGGGAUCUCGCUGCCUGCCCACCUCUCCUGCAAACAGAGGCACGUUCUCCGACUUUGAUAGCUCCCUGGGUUCCUGUGAAAAACAACCACAGCGUUUCCAGAGUGCGUUUCUCAAAUACCAGCGUCAGGGGAUCGCAGAAUUACAGCAACAAAUGUUACGAGGUAAUGUUUCCAAAUAGACACGCUGAAAAAUAAUCCAAAUAGGGCCAU
rnacentral:lncRNA from 1 species